rnacentral:rRNA from 1 species
UGGGGGAUAUUGCACAAUGGGCGAAAGCCUGAUGCAGCGACGCCGCGUGGGGGAUGAAGGCCUUCGGGUUGUAAACUUCUUUUGCUCUGAACAAGGCGCACCAGUGGGUGUGUUGAGUGUAGGGGUUGAUUAGCGCCGGCUAACUACGUGCCAGCAGCCGCGGUAAUACGUAGGGCGCGAGCGUUGUCCGGAAUUAUUGGGCGUAAAGGGCUUGUAGGUGGCUGGUUGCGUCUGUCGUGAAAGCUCAUGGCUUAACUGUGGGUUUGCGGUGGGUACGGGCUGGCUUGAGUGCAGUAGGGGAGGCUGGAAUUCCUGGUGUAGCGGUGGAAUGCGCAGAUAUCAGGAGGAAUACCGGUGGCGAAGGCGGGUCUCUGGGCUGUUACUGACGCUGAGGAGCGAAAGCGUGGGGAGCGAACAGG